UAGUUGCAAAUAGAAAUCUUUAUUUAGCUGAGAGCAUGCACUGGGGAGAACUCAGCUGCAAGGCAUUACCAGCCAGCGCUUCAAGCAGAUGAAGGGCUGAGUGCCUUGGUCCUGAAACAGUGAUCUAGACGGCAGAGCACAGCAUCCUCUGGACACAGCAGCAGGUGGGUGUGCUGUAUGUCCAUGUUUCUUUUUUUUAAAAUUAAUUUCUAUUUAUUUUUGGCCAUGCUGGGUCUUAGUGGCAGCAUGCAGGAUAUUUAGUUGUGGCAUACAAACUCGUAAGUUGCAGUGUGUGGGAUCCAGGCCCCCUGCAUUGGGAGUGUGGAGCCUUAGCUAUUGGGCCACCAGGAAAGUCCCCACGUCCCCUUGGGUAUUAGAAGCUAGAAGAAUAGUCAUGACCCUGAACCAUGUACCAUGAACCAUGUCAUUUUUGUGGUUGCAGAGCAUUAUUGUCUCUCAUUUCAGAUUUGGUCACAGAGUGACAUUGUCCCUUUCUCAUGUCAUUAUGUCACAGGAAAUCACAAUAUGCUGUGAGGAUGAGCUGCAAGUGACUUAGGUAGAUCCAGAGGGAGGCCUAAGAGCUGGAGCUGGUGAGCAAAGCAGAGCUAAGGUUCAGUUAGGUUACUCUGUUCCUUAAGUGAGUGAAGACUAUUGAUGGAACAUAGUUAUACUUGAUUUUAGAUACAGCUUUCUGAUGGAAGAUAAGAGAUGAUGAGGGCUGACUUAAGACAAUAAUAAAAAUUGUAACAAUGAUAAACAACUAUCACUGAUGGACUGUAGCCCACCAGGC
rnacentral:lncRNA from 1 species